CCUACGGGUGGCUGCAGUGGGGAAUAUUGGACAAUGGGCGAAAGCCUGAUCCAGCCAUGCCGCGUGUGUGAAGAAGGCCUUCGGGUUGUAAAGCACUUUCAGUGGGGAAGAAAGCCUUGGGGCUAAUACCCUCGAGGAAGGACAUCACCCACAGAAGAAGCACCGGCUAACUCCGUGCCAGCAGCCGCGGUAAUACGGAGGGUGCGAGCGUUAAUCGGAAUUACUGGGCGUAAAGCGCGCGUAGGCGGUCUGAUAAGCCGGUUGUGAAAGCCCCGGGCUCAACCUGGGAACGGCAUCCGGAACUGUCAGGCUAGAGUGCAGGAGAGGAAGGUAGAAUUCCCGGUGUAGCGGUGAAAUGCGUAGAGAUCGGGAGGAAUACCAGUGGCGAAGGCGGCCUUCUGGACUGACACUGACGCUGAGGUGCGAGAGCGUGGGUAGCAAACAGGAUUAGAUACCCGGGUAGUC
rnacentral:rRNA from 1 species